rnacentral:lncRNA from 1 species
GUGUGUGUGUGUGGAAUGUUUAGAAGAACACAAGGGGAGUCAAACCCUAGUUAUUAAAGAUCUUCAAAUUGAAGGGUGAAUCGAAGGUCAAACCUAUAAAUGAACAUGAAUUAAUGAUCACCUACACAAGGGGAUCAUGAGGGAUCAUGUCAAGAUGGAUGGAAGCAUGGAAGGCUAAAGGGUCAAAAGGAAGCAAGGAAACGGAUACGAAUACAAACGUUUAAGAAACAGGAUAUGAGCAGCUCAUAAUAGUAUGAAGAAAGUUGCACCAGCACUUGCAGCCAAACAUGAUAUUGCAGUGGCUGGAACAAAUAUCAGGGAGCCUGAGAGGAAGUAUAUCAUCAGGAGCCAAUUUCUAGCCUUGGUUGCUGUUAGAACCCCCCCAUCUACCUAAGCGAAUCAAGAAAGAGAGUACUUCAGAUGGGUCGUGAAGCGAGUGGAAAGCCAUUGUCUUGGUGGGUUUGGAAGAAACAACAAUCGGGUACCUGAUCAGACAUGAAGGCACGAUCAGGAUCACAGACGAUGGGUGACAAGGUUCCAUCAUAAUCCAAGAAAACAACAAUCUGUUUUCCCUUUGAUGCAUUAAUCAUCUGUUGGAAGGAGCUUAUAGCGGAAGGAUGUUCUUUCUGUCAAAUUCAAUUCAAGACAAAUCAGUUAUUAUGGGUACAUCCAUCUCUUAAUUAAUUAUAUGGUAGAAGAAUUGAAGGUAAAUGUAAAUAAUGACGUACGUACGUACCAACCAAGAUAUAUAGUUUUCAUCUCCAACGGUUGGGCUAGUAGCAUCGUGUCAAGCUUUGAACAUGGGUUCGGAAUCAGAUU